UUGACCUCGAAUCAGGUAGGAAUACCCGCUGAACUUAAGCAUAUCAAUAAGCGGAGGAAAAGAAACCAACCGGGAUUACCUCAGUAAC
rnacentral:rRNA from 1 species